GGAAUAUUGGACAAUGGGGGCAACCCUGAUCCAGCCAUGCCGCGUGUGUGAAGAAGGCCCUCGGGUUGUAAAGCACUUUCAGCGAGGAAGAACGCCUAUCGUUUAAUACCCGGCAGGAAAGACAUCACUCGCAGAAGAAGCACCGGCUAACUCCGUGCCCGCAGCCGCGGUAAUACGGAGGGUGCAAGCGUUAAUCGGAAUUACUGGGCGUAAAGCGCGCGUAGGUGGCUUGAUAAGCCGGUUGUGAAAGCCCCGGGCUCAACCUGGGAACGGCAUCCGGAACUGUCAGGCUAGAGUGCAGGAGAGGAAGGUAGAAUUCCCGGUGUAGCGGUGAAAUGCGCAGAGAUCGGGAGGAAUACCAGUGGCGAAGGCGGCCUUCUGGACUGACACUGACACUGAGGUGCGAAAGCGUGGGUAGCAAAC
rnacentral:rRNA from 1 species